UACGUAGGUGGCGAGCGUUGUCCGGAUUUACUGGGCGUAAAGCGCGCGCAGGCGGUUCUGUAAGUCCUGGGUGAAAUCGCCCGGCUCAACUGGGCGGGGGCCUGGGGGACUGCGGGACUGGAGGGGCCUAGAGGCCGGUGGAACUCCCGGUGUAGUGGUGAAAUGCGUAGAGAUCCGGAAGAACACCGGUGGCGAAGGCGGUUAGCUGGGCAGUUGCUGACACUGAGGCGCGACAGCGUGGGGAGCAAACAGG
rnacentral:rRNA from 1 species